rnacentral:rRNA from 1 species
AGUGAACGCUGGCGAUAGGCCUAACACAUGCAAGUCGAACGGCAGCACAGGAGAGCUUGCUCUCUGGGUGGCGAGUGGCAGACGGGUGAGGAAUACAUCGGAAUCUACUCUGUCGUGGGGGAUAACGUAGGGAAACUUACGCUAAUACCGCAUACGACCUACGGGUGAAAGCAGGGGACCUUCGGGCCUUGCGCGAUUGAAUGAGCCGAUGUCGGAUUAGCUAGUUGGCGGGGUAAAGGCCCACCAAGGCGACGAUCCGUAGCUGGUCUGAGAGGAUGAUCAGCCACACUGGAACUGAGACACGGUCCAGACUCCUACGGGAGGCAGCAGUGGGGAAUAUUGGACAAUGGGCGCAAGCCUGAUCCAGCCAUACCGCGUGGGUGAAGAAGGCCUUCGGGUUGUAAAGCCCUUUUGUUGGGAAAGAAAUCCAGCUGGCUAAUACCCGGUUGGGAUGACGGUACCCAAAGAAUAAGCACCGGCUAACUUCGUGCCAGCCGCCGCGGUAA